UAAACUGAGGCCGAAAGUUUAGGCCCCUAGCUGUUAAUUAGGAUAAAGCAGGAUAAAUACCUGCCAGUUUAG